UGUGUGUUUGUGUGUUUUCGUUCGUUCUGCCAGGAAGAGCGCCCUCCCCUGCACCCCGGCGAGGCCAGAGCAGCACAGUCAGCUGUUCCGCGGCCAGCAAGCAGGGCAGUCAAAGUCUAGGAUGCAAGGAGAACUUGGGUCAUUGUGGCCGCAGGCAAGCAGGUGGUGGGACGGAGAGGGUGGGGCUGGUGAGCUUGCUGCUUCCUGCACCUAAAAAAUAAUAAGACCUACCCGAAAAUAAGGCCAACCCCUUAUUUGGAGGGUCAAAACACGGUAGUUAAAGUAAGGGGAUGUUCAUUCUUUCACACAGGUAGAAAAUCCUAAUUGCUUAUGAAGUAGAGUUUGUUUGUAUUUGGUCUUAACUUGGACUCUCUUGGACAGCUUGUCAGACCUGUUACCAUGGUGCCUAGUAUCCCAGGAAUUCCAGGACCCUCAUCCCCACAACCGGUGCAGUCAGAGGCAAAAUUGUGUGCAUUGGUGAGUGACUGCAAUAAAUUCAAAUUCAACUCAAAUAAUUCCAUGACCAGCUCAACAUUUGUAUAACUUGAGCCAAAUCAACACAGGCCAUACACAAGAGGAAAGAUAAUCAGCAGGUUUGAAAAUAUGUAUGCAGAUUUAUAUUUUAAAAUGCUAAGAGUGAAGGAGAUGAAUAUUAACAACAUAAGCCUUCAGAACAUUAAAAAGUGGGAAGCAAGGGAAUAAAAUGUCUUGACUAAGAGUACUGUUUACCAGUGCAUUUUGUUUACGUUCCUACUUACUAAUAAUAGUAACAAUAGUAGGUGUGUUCUCUUAUAUAAUAGGACUAAUUACACAACACACAAACAGCAGAGAGGCCAUUAGUAUACUUCUAAAUUCUGCCUGAUUUGAAAAAGUAACGCACAUCCACACAAACCAAGAAACUUAAGUGAGAAGAACAUUCAAAAGGGGAUAAAAGAAUUUAAACUAGCACGUU